rnacentral:ncRNA from 1 species
UACUUAUCAAGAAAGGUGGAGGGAAAAGGCCCUUUGAAACCUUAGCAACCCCAAAUUAGGAAGGUGCUAAAUCCAGAUGUAAAAAUCAAGAUAAGAG